AAAUUAUACAGUGCUGUAUUAAUUUUUUUUAAUAUAUAUAUUUUGAUAUUUUCAUAAAACAUCAAUAUCUUAUUUAUAGAUAUAUGUAGAUGUGUGUGUGAUAUAUAUAGAUAUAUAUAUAUAUGUGAUAGUUGACAAAUUCAAAAUUAUAACAGUAUUUUGGGCAUUGAGCCUUAUUUAAUAAUGCGGGUAUAUACAUAUUAUACAUAUUAUCAUUUUCCCCCUUUUACAAAAAUUCGGUUUUCCCUCCUUGAAUGUUAUUUCAUACAUAUUACUAAGUAAUAUGUUCUUUGAUACAUCAGAUUGUCAAUUGUAUGUUGUCUUAAUUUUGGUUCCAUUUUGUUUGUUUUCAACAAGAAAGCAUAUCGAUUUAAUUUAUAUGUCAAGAUGAUCUGUCAUUGGGCACAUUUUCUACGUGCAUUAGUUUUUCCCAUAAUGUGCUCAUCAAAGUAUUACAGAGCGAUAUGAUAGUAAUAUUUCUAUUGUUAAUUUCAUUAAUGUAAAUUCACUAGUCCCAUAUAGUUCACCCAAGUUACUCUCAACUGAGAGAAAUUUUGCACUGCCACAAUUUCUUUUCACCGUGUGUAUGCGUGUAUGUAUGUGUGUAUGAUUUAUGUUACGCUUUUGGAAGCAGAGUUAGAAAAUAAUUGUAACUGAACCAAAAGCCUUUGUUUAUACAUGAGCAUGCAGCAAGGGGACCCAAUAUUAUAUUAUCAUCUAUAUGCAAAUGUAAUCAUGUAGGCUUCAUGUAGUUUGCUUGGUAGUUUUGUGGGUUUAAAAAAUGUUAUUGUAGUUUUUUGCCGUCCCAAAGGGCAAGACAGUGGAAUCUAAAGGUAGUGAAUUUGUUGAUUUAUAUUAUGCCAGAGUGAUGUUAAUGUAUUUAUGUUAUGGGCAUUAUUAUUUUUAUCAUUAUUAUUAUUAUUAUUAUUGCAAAGAAAUAGGUGCUUGUAAUUUUUGCUUUGAUUAUUAGUGAAACGUAUCUGAUGUUAACUAAUGUUAUAAAUAAUUAGAUUUUGACAUCACUUUGGCAUUUUAUUAUUUGAUAUGUGAGAGAAACACUUAAUAACUCCAUUUAAGGCCCAACAAUAAUUUGUUUAUUUAUUCAUUUUUUCCAUAAAAAAAUAAAAUUUAGAAGAGUGCAAUCAAAUGGCAAUCUGUGCUUGCUUAUUGUAUGUCAUACAAAUUAUUUUAUAUAUGUCUGUUUGCAUGCCUAUAAUGGCUUGCAUAGCCUAAAAUGUGAGUAAUUUUGUAUUUCUGUCACAGUGAUCGAGUAAUAGAGCAGCAAAAGCAGACAGAUCUUUGUGGAGUUAAAACAAAAACGAAGCCUAUGUAGAGAUCUUUCCUCUCUUGCAAAGGUGCACUAUUAUUUGGAUUGACUGCCACACAGCUGUAGAACAAAAGUUUAAUUUUAUUAAUUUAUUAGUUUUUUAAUAGUUACUAAUAAUUUUUAACAUUCCCUCUUGUAAAAAAUUAUAAAAAAAAUAGUAGUUUAUCUUGAGUGAAGAAUAAAUGUUUUUCCUGCCACAGCUGCAGAGACCUUCCAUGUGUUAUUUUCUUCCUUUCAGGUAAUUAUGCAUGGAAACAAUUUCUUAUUGCUAAUUCAGAACAAAAAGUGAAUGUUUUUAGUGUAUGUUUUAAAUGCAUUUGAGUUGCUACUUGUUUUGACAACUGUGAAUAAAUGUAUAUUUGUAUUUAAUCACUUAAAAAUGCCAAUCUACUCCAAUUCUAUUGGAGUCCUCAAAGUCCCUAUAUUUAUUUCUGUUGGUCAGUAUUGCAUGUUAUUGUUUCCAAAACUGAGUAGUGCCUUAUUGGAGAGUUAAUUUCUUUUUAAAUUAUUAUUAUCAUCAUAAAUGUUGAGAAUAUUAUUAUUAUUAUUUUUUAAUAAUUUUUUCAAUCAUUAUUAAUAUUUAUGAUGUAUGAUGGAAUGAAAGAAUUGUCAUUAUACUAUAGAUAUAUAUAUAUAUAAAAUGUUCAUUCCAAAUGAAUGCUCUAAGCAUGAAUGUUUUAUACAAAUGUACUUAUUAAUAAUAGCAGGUGAACAAAAAUUUACACAGUGCCUGUGAUAAAUGGUACACUAAUAAUGUGUACUUUUGUUAUCAUAUUUAUACAUUUUGUACAGUUUCUGUUAGCUUGUGUGAAAAAUCAUUACAUAGGCAUAGAAUUAUUUCAUCUGUCAAGUUAACUGUGUUAAAAAAAGAAAAAAAAUGAAAGAAAGAUAACGGAUAUAGAAAUUUCUAAUAUAUAGUGGGUGCUUGCCUGGGAGGUCUCUGCAUUGUAUUUGGUUGCCAAAUUUUGCUCCCCAAGAACCACCACCAUUUCUGUAAAUAUGAAUAUACAUGUACACAAACACACACAAACACAUACAAACUACAUAUACAUAGAUAUUAUAUCACAUCUUAUAAUUCAGAAGAAGGUGGUCUGAAUGAAGCAAAAGAGAAAUCAUCCAUUUGUUACGUGUGAAGGAGGACUUUUCAGAUUUUCCUAAGCUGUCUUUCUCAACAAUAAUCACAUUGUAUAGUUGGGCUUUCAAACUGGGGAGCUUGUAUAUUUCUUUUAGCAGCUUCCUUUUAUACUGUUACUGGGAUUUAUACAUAAAAGUGAAAAAAAAUAAUAAUAUUGCUGUAUUACAUUGGCCCUCAGCCAAAGAGUGACAGUAUCUCACCUGUACAUAGGCUUUGUAUCAGAAAUACCUGGGAUGGCAAAAAUUCAUAUUAUUUAGAUUUUUGUGUACUCAUUAAUGGUUAUAUUUAAAUGCUCCUCCCUGUUCCUUGAUUAAAAUUUAAAAAGAUAAAAAUUGAAACAAGGAAUGCUUAAUAAGGGCGGAGAUUCUAAAAAGUUCGUGCUGUCAUAGAUUUUGCUGUGACUUAAGAAAUAAAGAUUGUAUUGACCAAAUUUUCUGUGUUGUUAAUUUAUUUUGAUAAAUAAAAUUUCGAGAUUAAUCUAGGCCAGUAGUUCUCAACCUGAUUUCUUCCCAUCUAUUUUCAAUAUUUGAGAAUGCUGUAAUUGACAAAUAAACCAAAUAAAAAUUAUAAAUACUGUAUUCUAAUAAUUGAUAAACUCAGUUGUGUCUUUUAUAUUUGGUAUUAAAAAUAAAAACUAUUAGUUAACUAAAAUGCAUUUUUUGGUAGAGAUUGUCAGAAAGUAGUUCAAAAAACUAGAAUCUUUGAGAUAAUUAUAAUUGUGAUUUUUAUUAAUGAAAAUGUUGGAAACUACUGAAUUAGGUAAUAUCUCUGAGAAUUUUAUUACUAAACAAAAUAUACACCGUACACGUAUAGAUCGAUGCCAUUUCAAGAUUGCAGUUGCCAUAACGACACACGUUAUAUGCAGUAAGGUACUGAUGCAAAAGCAUUUCUUCAAUAGUUGAGAUUACACGUUUAUUAAUUUUUCAAGAUGUAUAAUGAUAAAAGUUGUGAUUUUGAUGACUGUAAUUGUAUAAAUAAUGUGUUCAGUAGUAUAUUUUCUGUAUCGAAAAUCUUUGGUCUCAAUAUGUUUUCUACCUGCACGAACAACAACAGAUUCAAUAAAAUCGCC
rnacentral:lncRNA from 1 species